rnacentral:tRNA from 1 species
GUUCCUGUAGUUAAAGUCUAAUAAUGGUGGCUUUUCAAGCCACAGAUCUUGGGUAAGAGCCAAGUAGGAACC